GGAUUGUAGUCUGCAACUCGACUACAUGAAGCUGGAAUCGCUAGUAAUCGCGAAUCAGAAUGUCGCGGUGAAUACGUUCCCGGGUCUUGUACACACCGCCCGUCACACCAUGGGAGUCAAUAACGCCCGAAGCCGGUGACCCAACCAAACGGAGGGAGCCGUCGAAGGUGGGACCGAUAACUGGGGUGAAGUCGUAACAAGGUAAC
rnacentral:rRNA from 1 species